UACUUGUAAGUUUAAGAUCAACACCCCAGCACCCUCAUAACCUAAACACCAUUUACAUUUUCUUGCUGUAUUGUCAAUUAUGACUCUUCCCAUAUACAGCAGUUUUUGGACUGAAAUAACUGAGUGUCCACAGACCCCGUGGAAGCACUAAUAAUGGUAAAAUGCUAUGCAUUUAGUUGUGCUCUCCAAAUCUCUUUUAGUCUUGGGCAAAUUGUUUGUAUAGAGUAGGUUGGCAGCCUGUUUUUCUUGUAUAGACUUACCCUCAUCUCUGCCACUGUAGUAUUUUCUUUGUUUGGAAAUACUAUAAGCCAUGUAGACGUCUCAUUAAAGUCCUAACUAUCAGGCUACUGAAAUGCAAUGGCAUUACACUCUUGCCAGAGCUAACUGAAGCACAUAUAUUACCUUACUCCUUGUAUGCUGCUGUGCACUAAGAGGGCAUUAAGAUAUUAGGUUUCUAGUUCUGCAUACUGCUAGUUAAACUGGACCAGCAGUUCUCAAAUGCAGAUCCUGGUGUGAGAACACUCAGGUCAGGUUCCCAGUGCCUAGGCAUGAGUGGUUUAGUUAGUUCUGGCUGCAAGUUAUGCUGAGAGGAGUCUACCCUAAAGACUGGUGGUUGAGAGAAAGGAUGGCAUAUCUCACAGCCUCUUUUUCCUGUUACCAUUUCGUCUUCUAACUUGUCUUUCCUUGUAGUGCAUUCCCAUUGCCUCACUGGAAGCUUCCAAGCACCUCUUUGUCCACUGACUAGUGUGAGCUGGGCUUGCUGCAGCCCAAGGAAGGAACAUGAUGAGGAACUCUGUGUAGGAGCAGCUGCCAUGGCAGUGGAAGGAGCCUAGAGCUGUAGCUAAGUGGAAGGAAAAAAACAUCAAAGGUGUGAAUAUUCUUGAU
rnacentral:lncRNA from 1 species